rnacentral:rRNA from 1 species
AGUGAACGCUGGCGGUAGGCCUAACACAUGCAAGUCGAACGGCAGCACAGGAGAGCUUGCUCUCUGGGUGGCGAGUGGCGGACGGGUGAGGAAUACAUCGGAAUCUACUCUGUCGUGGGGGAUAACGUAGGGAAACUUACGCUAAUACCGCAUACGACCUACGGGUGAAAGCAGGGGACCUUCGGGCCUUGCGCGAUUGAAUGAGCCGAUGUCGGAGUAGCUAGUUGGCGGGGUAAAGGCCCACCAAGGCGACGAUCCGUAGCGGGUCUGAGAGGAUGAUCAGCCACACUGGAACUGAGACACGGUCCAGACUCCUACGGGAGGCAGCAGUGGGGAAUAUUGGACAAUGGGCGCAAGCCUGAUCCAGCCAUACCGCGUGGGUGAAGAAGGCCUUCGGGUUGUAAAGCCCUUUUGUUGGGAAAGAAAUCCAGCUGGCUAAUACCCGGUUGGGAUGACGGUACCCAAAGAAUAAGCACCGGCUAACUUCGUGCCAGCAGCCGCAGUAA